UGGGAUUGCAGAAUGUUAGGAGAGUAUUGUCAGCCAAUACCGAGAAUAUUGAUGCUGAAGCAGGACUCCUCAAAACAGAUGUCCAGAACACCAUGGCAAGAAAAAAGAGCCAGGAUAAGAUGCCAAGAAUGCCCAGGAUGGGUCAAAGGGUUGAUUGGGAUAGGCAGUGAUAUAAUGAGACAAGACAGAGAACCAGACCCAAGCCAAGACUGAGUGCCAGGAGAGUGAUGUCAAAUGUGUCUAAAGAAUUCAACCCAUCUAUGCUGUGGAGGAUUUUUUAGCCUUCUUGUAUAAAAAAGCGGAGGCAGCACUGUACAAUGAAAAAAGCAACCUUGGCCCUGGAGUCGGAGGACUUGGGUCCAGAUCCUACCUGUGUGAAAUGCUAUCUGUGUGACCUUGGAUCAAUCACUUGCCUUCCCUGGACCUCUGAUACCUCAUCUGUAACAUGAGACUAAAUGACCUUUAAGGUCCUUUCCAGCUCUAGAUCCAUGAUCUCAUGAUCCCACGAGCUAACUAAUCUACUUGCACAAUGAGCACUUACACUAUUUGAUCAGUUACAUAAAAAGUGACAGAGUCAAUUUGAAAGCAGACCUUCGGAUUCCAAAUCUGUAAUUCUUUCCUUUGCACCAGAGGUGUCAAACUCUCAAUCCACAAAACUCUCCA